UACGUAGGGUGCGAGCGUUAAUCGGAAUGACUGGGCGUAAAGGGCGCGUAGGCGGUUUGUACAGUCAGGUGUGAAAUUCCCGGGCUCAACCUGGGGGCUGCACUUGAUACGUAGGAACUGGAGUGGGGAAGAGGGUCGUGGAAUUCCCAGUGUAGAGGUGAAAUUCGUAGAUAUUGGGAAGAACACCGGUGGCGAAGGCGGCGACCUGGUCCUUGACUGACGCUGAGGCGCGAAAGCGUGGGGAGCAAACAGG
rnacentral:rRNA from 1 species